rnacentral:rRNA from 1 species
GUCGAACGAAGUAAGUUGCUUCACCAAAUGUUGAAUAACCACCCCAAGCGCAUUUGCCCAAGGGGAAGGUAAAGUACAAAUAUUAAUAAAAUGGUGAAACACUAAGGAUUAAGCAAAGGAAGCAAAUGCGCUUCGCGCUAAUUCCAAGUACCAACACAAAACAAAUUCAAUAUUUGGUGAAGUAACUUACUUAGUGGCGGACGGGUGAGUAACGCGUGAAUAAUCUGCCCCAUACAGGGGGAUAGCCUCGGGAAACCGGGAUUAAAACCGCAUGAUGCUUUUUUAUCGCAUGGUAGAGAAGUCAAAUCGAAUAAGAGGCAUGGGAUGAGUUCGCGUCUGAUUAGCUGGUUGGCGGGGUAAGAGCCCACCAAGGCGACGAUCAGUAGCCGGCCUGAGAGGGUGACCGGCCACACUGGAACUGAGACACGGUCCAGACUCCUACGGGAGGCAGCAGUGGGGAAUAUUGCACAAUGGAGGGAACUCUGAUGCAGCGACGCCGCGUGAGUGAAGAAGGUCUUCGGAUCGUAAAACUCUGUCCUUGGUGACGAAGAAAAUGACGGUAGCCAAGGAGGAAGCCCCGGCUAACUACGUGCCAGCAGCCGCGGUAAUACGUA